AUUUUUGGCAUGAAAUCCUUGUCCGUGAACUUCGAGGGAAACUGAGACCUCCUUUGUUUACCUGAUGAACAGCUUCUUACCUAUCUCACCACAACAGAAAGGACGCUGAUUUGCUUCCGUUUUCAAGCUACCAUUACCAAUGUGUCUCAUCGUUCGUAGAGGUGAUGCUUGCCCUCGAACAUUUACACCACUUUUUAGGAGUUCAAGUUCAGCUUCCUUCUUCUCCAACACUUGCUUAAGGUUUGAGAUCUAAAUAAACCAUAAAAAACACAAAGACAUCAAUUACAGUUUCUUUGUUAGAACGAGCUGCGCCAAGAUCUAUGGAGGCAACCCUCUCAGCAAAUUUGAGGGUGCUAACUGUUUCUCCAAAUGCAUCUGCCUCUGGAUUUAUGUGCAUGAACAUCAAUGUCUUUGCCUGACCACCUGUAAGGGAGUACGGAAGGUACCUGUGAGACCUGCUGCUCCGCUCAUUUAAAGCAGUAGCACCAACAGCACGGUUCUUUUGCCCGAUUCUCAUCAAAUCAACAACAUCUUGAGUGCAUGUAACUGGAAUCAGACUAGCAUCAGCAGUGAAACCAUUAUUACUCCAGCUGUUUUCACGUUUCCCACCACAAAUGCAGUCACUGGAGACCAAACUAGUUCUGUGCCGCAAAUAAUUUGAUAUGGCUUCGAGAACUUCUGAUCUUGAUAAAGGACUGCACUCAUCCGCCAAUAUUUUCUUCAGAAAAAGUCUGAGCUGCAGGUGUCAAAGUAACUGUCAAUCUACCACAUUCGUUGACAAACUUUAAUCGUAUUAACAUUGGUAUUACACAGGAAAAUGCCUAUGUAAAGUUGCUGUUAUUACCUGAUUGCUUUGAGAAACCAGCAAUCCAGAGAAGUUCUUGACUACUUUCCUCAACACAGCAUCAAUUACCUGAAAAUGUUCAUCCUUAGUCCACUAGAAGGAAUGACACUUGAAAUUUGUCUAACAUGAGAUGCCUGAAAACUAGAAGACACCUACAAUUGUGAGUGACAUAAGUGAAGAAAUAAGUAGCUUUGAUAUCAGUGUCAAACUUUUAAGUAGAAAGGGCAAAAAUUGUCAGAGUGGUGAUGUGUUAAGAAGAUAUGGUGAUAAGGCAGGAUAGCCAACAAUGUCCUGAUAAUUAUAGAGACCUUCAGGCAAGUUUUUGAACCAUUCAAUGCAACUUCUUCCUCUACAUUCUGAAUAUAUGGUAAUCGGCAAAGUUACACUUGCUUCAUGUAUUCAUUUAUUUUAUCAUUUCGAUGAGUUACACUUGCUUCAUGUAUUCAUUUAUUUUAUCAUUUCGAUGCUUUGCCACAUAUCCAUUAUUAACGAGCCAUAAAUAAAAUGUAUGUACCAACUACUUGAUUGCUGAUAGACUUCACAUAAGUUGUAUCAAUCUAACAAGCUAUGACUUCUAUAAGGACGUCCUAUUUUUAGAAAAACUACAGUCUUACCUACCAUUGAAUUCAAAGGGAAGUCCACAACUCCAUCCCUCUCCAUAAGAUAAGCCUGUAGAAGCCCAAGGCCAAAGCGAUCAAAGAGGAACGUCAGUAUAUUGGAAGCAUUUGAUUCUUCAAGCGAGACUUCGCCAGAUAAAUGGAGAAAUUCCAACAGCUGGUCGAAUUGUGAUGACUCGGAGUCAUCCACUGACUCAUCUGCACUGUCACUACCACCAAACGAGGACAGUGAUCCUUUGGGACAGGACGUGAUCCUGACAGUUCCCCCAUACUUCCAAACUCCAAUUCCUCCAGCUUGUUUCCAUUCAUAAUAUCCUUUUAGGCACAAAAUGCAGUCUACAACCUUGUUUGAUGAACCACCCUACAAGUUCAAAACCUUUGUUCAAUACAAUGUACCUUGGUUAAAAAAAUGUGAAACAUACUUGCAUAUAGUCUGAGCCAACGUGAAAAAACUGAUUAAUCUAACCUUUUCAAGAUCAGAUGCUUCGCAUGUUAAAAGCUGCAUUUUUCCAACAGCUACAAGAAAAUUCCUCAUGUUCUCGAAAUAUUGAAUAGCAGAUUGGGCUGCACAUUCUGAGGACAUAUCGACCACUGAAUUCACAACCACCUAUAUCUCAGAGAAUGAGGCCAUUGCGAAGAGCACAACGGAAUUCUUCUUCGCUUGGUUCUUUUGGGAGCACCUCCGAUGCACCGGAGUCCAUCUGCCUUAGCCAUUCCGCCGCCUGGUACCUCCUUGCAGCUGCAAGUAAUUAAUUCCUAAUUUUAGUUUGAAAAUUUUAGAAGCAAAUUAGUAGUGUCAUAUAUGUCUUAAUUUCCCCAUGCAUGGUGUUCCUCCUUUAGUAAUUUGUGUAACUAUUUUAUAUUAUUAGUGAUUCGGUUACUAUAUUAUCUGUUAUUGCUACUGUUAGUCUUCUUUAUGUUUAGC